rnacentral:rRNA from 1 species
AUUGAACGCUGGCGGCAUGCCUUACACAUGCAAGUCGAACGGUAACAGGUCCUCGGAUGCUGACGAGUGGCGAACGGGUGAGUAAUACAUCGGAACGUGCCUAGUAGUGGGGGAUAACUACUCGAAAGAGUGGCUAAUACCGCAUGAGAUCUACGGAUGAAAGCAGGGGAUCGCAAGACCUUGUGCUACUAGCGCGGCCGAUGGCAGAUGAGGUAGUUGGUGGGAUAAAAGCUUACCAAGCCGACGAUCUGGAGCUGGUCUGAGAGGACGAUCAGCCACACUGGGACUGAGACACGGCCCAGACUCCUACGGGAGGAAGCAGUGGGGAAUUUUGGACAAUGGGCGCAAGCCUGUUCCAGCAAUGCCGCGUGCAGGAUGAAGGCCUUCGGGUUGUAAACUGCUUUUGUACGGAACGAAAAGCCCCGGGUUAAUACCCUGGGGUCAUGACGGUACCGUAAGAAUAAGCACCGGCUAACUACGUGCCAGCCGCCGCCGUAA